rnacentral:lncRNA from 1 species
UCCAUCAUCACCACUGAGACCACAUUAGCUUUCCGCCACUGCGACAGAUGUGUGAGAAGUCUGACGUGGGCCUCAGGGUGCCGGCAGGGCCAGGCUCCUUCUGGAGACAGUAAAGAUGGCCCACUUCUUGUUCAUACAGCAGUGUUGGCUGAAGGUUACCCUAACUGCUGAGGGCUGCCCACCCUCCUCACUCUGUUCCCCUUCCUGGUCAUCAAAGACAUCAAGGGCCCUGAGCAUAUUAGACAAGCCCACAAGACCCAUCUUUGUGGGUUUAUGGGAUACUAGCCAGGCUGCUGGACAGACCUGCCAUCCCACACACCUGGCACAAGAGGACAGAGAGUCCAAGAGGCAGUAUGCAGAUGUCCAGCUGCUUACAUGAGGAGCUCUGGGAAGAGCUGAGAGUAGCCCAGGUCCACCUCUGGACCUGGAGGGCCCAGGCCUGGCCAGACUCUUCCCAGUGCCUCUGGCUGUGCUUUCCCUGACAUCUACAAUAAAACCUCCCCCUUAACCAUACCUUGGAGAGUUAUGUCCUCAUUUCAGGCAACUAUGCCCUUGUAUCAAGUACUUUACCUACUAGGAUGCCUUCCAAGUCCUUAGGAUAAAUCUAGACAGACUGGAGAGGUGCCUCAAUUGGUUAACAAUGUACACUGCCCUUGUGGAGGACCCAAGUUCAGUUCCC